GCUCAAUCGAGGAAGUGCUUCGAAAACUGGUAAACUUGAGUGCAGAAGAGGAAAGUGGAACUCCAUGUGUAGCGGUGGGAUGCGUAGAUAUAUGGAAGAACACCAGUGGCGAAGGCGGCUUUCUGGUCUGUAACUGACGCUGAGAUUCGAAAGCAUGGGUAGCAAACAGGAUUAGAUACCCUGGUAGUCCAUGCCGUAAACGAUGAGUGCUAAGUGUUGGAGGGUUUCCGCCCUUCAGUGCUGCAGCUAACGCAUUAAGCACUCCGCCUGGGGAGUACGAUCGCAAGAUUGAAACUCAAAGGAAUUGACGGGGGCCCGCACAAGCGGUGGAGCAUGUGGUUUAAUUCGAAGCAACGCGAAGAACCUUACCAGGUCUUGACAUACCAUGAAAAGCUAAGAGAUUAGUCUUUCCCUUCGGGGACAUGGAUACAGGUGGUGCAUGGUUGUCGUCAGCUCGUGUCGUGAGAUGUUGGGUUAAGUCCCGCAACGAGCGCAACCCUUAUUAUCAGUUGCCAGCAUUCAGUUGGGCACUCUGGUGAGACUGCCGGUGACAAACCGGAGGAAGGUGGGGACGACGUCAAAUCAUCAUGCCCCUUAUGACCUGGGCUACACACGUGCUACAAUGGUCGGUACAACG
rnacentral:rRNA from 1 species